ensembl:lncRNA
AGGAAGUAAACAGAACGACAUGUUAGCAUUGAUAGCUGCGUUAGCUUGUUGUUCGGAGGACGGUGGUGUUUUGUUCGGACGUUUGUGAAGAAAUUUGGUGAUACUUUGUUGGAUUUACAACAGUUAUACUUUCCAAAGUGUCGUAAAAGAGUGAAUUCGUGUUGAACGUAAAGACAACGUGGCUGUGAUUGUGAGACUAGCAGAUGAUCGGAGCUGCUGGUGUUGAGAGGACGGCGGUGUUUGUGUGAGCAGCUGCAGGAACCAUGUCUUCCCUUCAGUCUCUGAGAGAGUUGAUCAACGAGCGACUCGCUGCUGCUGCUGAAGAAAUCUUCAGACUCUGUGAAGGAACCAUCGUCCAGUACGAGCAGGAGCUCUGUCGUCAGCGCAGACUGCUGGAUAUCUGCUGGAAACCACAGCUUCAGCUCCACCAGAUAGCCUUCCCCCAACAUUGGCUGAUUGAAGAGAAGGAUCUCUGCAAACAGCAGAAGAACUUCAGAGAGGAUCAGGAGGAACCAGAACCUCCACAGAUUAAAGAGGAACAGGAGGAACCAGAACCUCCACAGAUUGAAGAGGAACAGGAGGAACCAGAACCUCCACAGAUUAAAGAGGAACAGGAGGAACCAGAACCUCCACAGAUUAAAGAGGAUCAGGAGGAACCAGAACCUCCACAGGUUAAAGAGGAUCAGGAGGAACCAGAACCUCCACAGGUUAAAGAGGAACAGGAGGAACCAGAACCUCCACAGGUUAAAGAGGAAUCAGAACCUCCACAGGUUAAAGAGGAACAGGAGGAACCAGACCUCCACAGGGUUAAAGAGGAUCAGGAGGAACAGAACCUCAAGGUUAAAGAGGAUCAGGAGGAACCAGAACCUCCACAGGUUAAAGAGGAUCAGGAGGAACCAGAACCUCCACAGGUUAAAGAGGAACAGAAGGAAGGACAGUAUCCAAAGAUUGAAGAGAAAGAAGAACAGCUCUGCAUCAGUCAGGAUGAAGAGAUGCUUAAUCUGAAGCAGAAGAUUGAUACUUUGAUGGAGAUUCCUUCUUAUGAGGAACAUGAGCACAGUGAAACAGAUCUAAAUGAUCAGCAAAGCUUUAAUUUGACUGGUAGUUGGGAUGAAGAAGGAAACCAACAUGAAGAAUCAACAUCGUGUACAGAUGAAGAGACAGACCCACAGAACAGAGAUCAGAGGAGGAGAACAGACAGACUUGUCCAAAGUGUGGCCAACUCUCACAUUUCAGAAAGUCAGUGUGACUCUGAUGUUAGAAAAAACGUCAAGAAGAAAAUUGGUAAGAAAAGAAACACAAAAAUUCUCUAAAAGGAAAAAGAUCAGAUGAGACAAAAAAAGUUGCACACAGUGAGAAAGUCAGUAAAAAAACUGAAUCUGAUGAAAAAACUCAUGUCUGUAAAGAAUGUGGUAAAGCAUUUAAUCACUGGUCCAAGUUCAAAACCCACAUGAGAAACCAUACGAUAGGGAAGAGAUAUUCUUGUCAAGAAUGUGAUAAAACUUUUAGUUACAAGUAUCAGGUCAGACUACACAUGAGGACUCACACAGGAGAAAAGCCCUUUCAUUGUAAAGAAUGUGAUAAAGGUUUUGAUUACAUGUGUUAUCUCAGAUCCCACAUGAAAACUCAUACAGGGGAAAAACCUUAUCCUUGUAAAGUUUGUAACAAGCGUUUUAGUGAGAAGUUUACUCUCAAAACACACAUGAAAAUUCACACAGGAGAGAGGCCUUUUUCUUGUAUAAGAUGUCAGAAAAGAUUCAUUCAUUCAUAUCGUCUGAAAAGCCACAUGAGAACUCAUGCAGGAGAGAAGCCUUAUUCUUGUAAUGAAUGUCAGAAAAGAUUUGGUAAUCCAGCUUGUCUCAAAACACACAUGAGAACUCACACAGGAGAAAAGACGUUUUCUUGUACAAGAUGUGAUAGAAGCUUUAGUCAUUCAUGUGGUCUGAAAUAUCACAUGAGAUCUCAUGCAGGAGAGAAGCCUUAUUCUUGUAAAAAAUGUGAUGAGUGUUUUAGUGAUCUAUCUACUCUAGACUCACACAUGAAGCUCCUGUCUUGUAAAAAAAUUGCUAUAAGUUUGAGUCAAAUAUCUGGUACUGAAACACACAUGAGAACUCGGAGAGGAGUGAAGCCUUUUUCUUGUGAAAAAUGUGAUAGAAUUUUUACGAUUAGGUCCCAUCUUAAAAAACACAUGAGAACACAUUCAGGAGAGAAGCUUUUUUCUUGUAAGGUAUGUGAUAAACGUUUUACGACAAAGUUCUAUGCUAAAUUACACUUGAAAAUACAUACUGGAGAGAAGCCCUUUUCUUGUCAAAUAUGCAAAAAAGGUUUUAGUCAAAAAAAUAGUGUCAAAAGACACAUGUUAAUUCAUUUAAGAGAGAGUGAAAGUGAAAACUCUCAACUUAAGAAAUGAAGGGAAAUCAUUGGGUUAAAUCAGGAUCAGUCUUAACUGAUUAAAAAAAAGCCGAUUUUAAAUUUCAAAAAUCAUUUAUGAGCUGGAAACAGGUGGAGGAGGACCUAGAGAGGUGGAGGUUUGCCCUGGAAAGGAGAGGAAUGAAGGUUAGCCGCAGUAAGACAGAGUACUUGUGUGUGAAUGAGAGGAACCCAAGUGGAAGAGUGAGGUUACAGGGAGAAGAGAUAAAGAAGGGGGAGGAGUUUAAGUAUUUAGGGUCAACAGUACAGAGUAAUGGAGAGUGUGGAAAAGAAGGGAAGAGGUGAGUGCAAGCAGGUUGGAAUGGGUGGAGAAAAGUGUCAGGUGUGAUGUGUGAUAGAAGAGUUUCAGCACAAAUGAAAGGAAAGACUGUGGUGAGAGCAGCCAUGUUGUUGGACUAGAAACAGUGAAGGAAAGACAGGAAGCAGAGCUGGAGGUAGCAGAGAUGAAGAUGCUGAGGUUCUCUUUGGGAGUGACCAGGAUGGAUAGGGUCAGGAAUGAAUCCAUCAGAGGGACAGAACAUGUUAGAGGUUUUGGAGAUAAAGUCAGACUGAGAUGGUUUGGACAUGUUCAGAGGAGAGACAGUGAAGAUAUUGGUAGAAGGAUGCUGAGUUUAGAGCUGCAGGAAAGAGGUCUAGAACAGGGGUGUCAAACUCAAUCGCACAAGGGGCCAAAAUCCAAAACGCGUCUUAGGUCGCGGGCCGAACAGGAUAAACAUUUAUUAACACUCUAAAACUACAUUUUUAAAAAUGUAAAAACCGUAACUUUUUAACAUAAUUAUGAACUAGAGAUAUAGCAGGGUGUCAAACUUAAAUACACAGUUGGCCAAAAUGUUAAAUUGAACAAAGCCGCCAAGGCUGAACAAAUGAACCUUUCAAUCUGGUACCAAACAAUGAAAAUUAUUAAACAUUUUACAAAAUGAUAUUGAACAAGCAAAGACUUAUAGAAUUUAAAGUGCUGACAUGCAAAUUCAAGUUUCUAAUAAUACUACCAGGCUGGCUUAAAAUAAGGUGGUGAUGGUGUCUUGUCACAAAUUCAGAUUUGGAUACCCCCCCACCCCAAAUUAAAUCUGAAAUGAAAAACUUGAAAUUAAACUUUCAUUAUUUUUUGUAUUAACUGUGGCAUUGAAAGUCACUGUGGGAACAUUUAAAUAUUUCUAAUAAUUAUUGUACAUAAAAAUAAUAUACACAAUAAAUCCUCUCUCCCACUUUUAUAUUUUUAAUAGGCUAAAUAACACUUUUGAUUUAUUUAAUCUGACAUCAGAACAGUCAAGUUCAAGUCUUAAAAUCCUCCUAAAUCAGUAAAUAUGUUGUAGUUAUUUUUAUAUUAUUCUCUCGUUUAAGAACUUUUCUUCUGAACAGAAACUAUAUGUUCUGCUGUGUCUGCCCCUGUGCGCGGCUGUCACGUGCACGUGCAGGCUCUCCUUCUCUCGUGUAUCCCCCCCGCUCCGCUCCCAGCAUGCACCGCGGCAAUAGACAGACUGUCUCUUCUUUUCUUUUUCAAGGAGGUCCUCCUCUAAAUCAAGUGUUUACAACUCCUGAUUUUUUAAAUCAUGUCUUCUCUACCUCACACUGCAGGUCUGUCACAAACAGCACCUGCGGAAGUCUAAUCCAGUCGGACCGAACCAUUUUUAAAGAAGGGGGGGGGGGGGGGGGGGUCCGUUUACGUUGAAGUUUCCAAAAUAAAAUAUAUAAAUAUUAUUAACUAAAAAAUUAAUGAUUACAUAUUGGUUAUUUUUUUAUUGGAAUUAUUUUUUUCUGUUUUAUAAUUUUGUCAUCUCAAUCUAGGCCGCUGGAAACAGCCACCUUUCCCCCCUAUUUGGUGAAAAGGUCCCGCUUGUAAAUUCUCUAAGCAUGAAAAACUCUGUACUACUACUAAUAUUAGCAAUGAUAAUAAUAAAACGUAUCAAUGGCAUAUUAAAUAGAU